CGCCAUUUUGGACCGCGAAAACGGAGAACCCGCGAGACUUGGCCACCUGGUAGCACUUCUCGAUGGCGUCAGCACGGGCGGUGUAAGACCCGUCCAGCCGUGCGUCUG